rnacentral:rRNA from 1 species
UUCCGGUUGAUCCUGCCGGAGGUCAUUGCUAUUGGAGUCCGAUUUAGCCAUGCUAGUUGCACGAGUUCAGACUCGUAGCAGAUAGCUCAGUAACACGUGGCCAAACUGCCCUAUAGACGGCGAUAACCUCGGGAAACUGAGGCUAAUAGCCGAUAUCGUUCAACACCUGGAGUGGUGUGAACGCGAAACGUUCAGGCGCUAUAGGAUGUGGCUGCGGCCGAUUAGGUAGACGGUGGGGUAACGGCCCACCGUGCCCAUAAUCGGUACGGGUUGUGAGAGCAAGAGCCCGGAGACGGUAUCUGAGACAAGAUACCGGGCCCUACGGGGCGCAGCAGGCGCGAAACCUCUACACUGCACGCGAGUGCGAUAAGGGGACUCCGAGUGCGAGGGCAUAUAGUCCUCGCUUUUCACCACCGUAAGGUGGUGGUGGAAUAAGUGCUGGGCAAGACCGGUGCCAGCCGCCGCGGUAAUACCGGCAGCACGAGUGAUGACCGCUAUUAUUGGGCCUAAAGCGUCCGUAGCUGGCCAGGCAAGUCUAUCGGGAAAUCUGCGCGCUUAACGCGCAGGCGUCCGGUGGAAACUGCAUGGCUUGGGACCGGAAGACCAGAGGGGUACGUCCGGGGUAGGAGUGAAAUCCCGUAAUCCUGGACGGACCACCGGUGGCGAAAGCGCCUCUGGAAGACGGAUCCGACGGUGAGGGACGAAAGCUCGGGUCACGAACCGGAUUAGAUACCCGGGUAGUCCGAGCUGUAAACGAUGUCUGCUAGGUGUGGCACAGGCUACGGGCCUGUGCUGUGCCGUAGGGAAGCCGAGAAGCAGACCGCCUGGGAAGUACGUCCGCAAGGAUGAAACUUAAAGGAAUUGGCGGGGGAGCACUACAACCGGAGGAGCCUGCGGUUUAAUUGGACUCAACGCCGGU